rnacentral:misc_RNA from 1 species
UCCGGUUUGUCACCGGCAGUCUCGCAUGAGUCCCCAACUAAAUGCUGGCAACAUGCGACGGGGGUUGCGCUCGUUGCGGGACUUAACCCAACAUCUCACGACACGAGCUGACGACAGCCAUGCACCACCUGUGAUCCUGCCCCGAAGGGAAACCCUGUUUCCAGGGCGGUCAGGAACAUGUCAAGCCCAGGUAAGGUGGGGAUGACGUGUCUAGGAGGGUG